AAUAAUGGUAAACAGCCAUUAGUUACGAUAAACACUCUUUUCAACAGUGAAUGUUUAAAUGUUGUGGUUGCAAUGAAAAGUUAAUUAACCGGUAUGGUUCAUGAUAAUGGAACGAUACCGGUGGUUCCAUGUUUAAUUGCGCUGUCCCUGACAGUUUAGAUCACUUUACUACAGAAUUGGACAAAAAAAGUUCACACAAAUGACACCGUAGGACAAACAUAAGUGUUAAAAGUGUGCCACGACAUUACGGACUCUAUACUCCUCCUCCGGUCGAAACUACAGGGAUGUUUCAGUGCUCAUGCUCCCACAAAGCUUUGCAGGAGACCAUACAAUGAAAUUUAGAACGUUUUUUUACGUUUCGGCGCCAUUUUCGAUUGGACUGGAGGCAGCACUGCCCUCUUUGCCCAAAGGGAGCGGAGAAGGACAGGCAUGCUGAGGCCUGUUCUCAAGGUAAGUUUUGCACAGCUCAAGUGCCCUGUAAUCUAUUGUCCACCAAUAUACAACAGGGGGCGCUACAGAUAAUGUUGAAUAUAAGCGAGUGAACGCCAUUUCAUGCUGUAGUAGACUUUUACAGAAUAAACAAUAAAACGCAGUUCACAUCUAAAUGCUUUGAUAUCCUGUUCAAGUUAUGGCAUGCUUGAUAUAUAGGCUAAUCUAAAUGUGGAAAACAGAUUUGCCACUUUGAAGUUAUUAAUUGGAAGCUUGUGUUAACUUGUAGCCUAUCAAGGAAAUGGCCAGUUUAACUCUAUAGUAACAACGAUUUCUAACGUGGUUGACCCGCUGCGGUAGCAGCACGUCAUGGUUUGUAGUAAUAUGGUGGUACGGACCAUGAGGAGCUGCUGCUGUAGUGGCAGCAUUCAAUUCCUGUCGGCCGUCUGAAGAGGUGUGUCUGAAUAGUUAGCCUCACAUCCCCAUGGGUUGCGCUGUAGCAGCACGUAAAUACUGGAGUUGAGUUUAGUCUGUUAUCCAGUGUUACUGUUCUGCUCCAGUCAGACCUAUCAACGCCAACACGAUUUACAUGGAGCCUGGACUGCAAAAAUAUAGGCUACAUGAAGACUUGUAGUAGGAUGUAUACUUUAUUGACAAAUAAACAAAAUAUAUUGAAAUGAAA